rnacentral:SRP_RNA from 1 species
GCCGGGCGUGGUGAUGGGCGCCUGUAAUCCCAGCUACUCGGGAGGCUGAGACAGGAGAAUCGCUUGAACCCAGGAGGCAGGGGUUGCAGUGAGCCGAGAUCGCGCCACUGCACUCCAGCCUGGGCGACAGAGCGAGACUCUGUCUCAA